CCUCGGCAUCAAAGCACCCCAUCAGCCUGCGAACAUCCCGCUGCUCUCAAGCAUCCCACCCACCUGGAAGCAGCCCAAUGUCCUGGGACCAUCCCAGCCAGCCCUGGCCCUGCUGCCCUACAGCCCUCCCCGUGCCCGUGCUCCCCCCUGCCAGCACCCAAGGGCAUCGCUCUGCGGGGCGAGGGGUGUCCCAGCACGCGGCCAGGACGGGGUGGCUGUGGGUGCUGCAUAUGGGAGGGCAGAAAAAGGGAUCUGUGGGUGCAAUGGGGGAAGAACGAGGCCGGUGGCUCCCCC